GAUGAACGCUGGCGGCGUGCCUAAUACAUGCAAGUCGAGCGAACGGACGAGAAGCUUGCUUUUCUGAUGUUAGCGGCGGACGGGUGAGUAACACGUGGAUAACCUACCUAUAAGACUGGGAUAACUUCGGGAAACCGGAGCUAAUACCGGAUAAUAUUUUGAACCGCAUGGUUCAAAAGUGAAAGACGGUCUUGCUGUCACUUAUAGAUGGAUCCGCGCUGCAUUAGCUAGUUGGUAAGGUAACGGCUUACCAAGGCAACGAUGCAUAGCCGACCUGAGAGGGUGAUCGGCCACACUGGAACUGAGACACGGUCCAGACUCCUACGGGAGGCAGCAGUAGGGAAUCUUCCGCAAUGGGCGAAAGCCUGACGGAGCAACGCCGCGUGAGUGAUGAAGGUCUUCGGAUCGUAAAACUCUGUUAUUAGGGAAGAACAUAUGUGUAAGUAACUGUGCACAUCUUGACGGUACCUAAUCAGAAAGCCACGGCUAACUACGUGCCAGCAGCCGCGGUAAUACGUAGGUGGCAAGCGUUAUCCGGAAUUAUUGGGCGUAAAGCGCGCGUAGGCGGUUUUUUAAGUCUGAUGUGAAAGCCCACGGCUCAACCGUGGAGGGUCAUUGGAAACUGGAAAACUUGAGUGCAGAAGAGGAAAGUGGAAUUCCAUGUGUAGCGGUGAAAUGCGCAGAGAUGUGGAGGAACACCAGUGGCGAAGGCGACUUUCUGGUCUGUAACUGACGCUGAUGUGCGAAAGCGUGGGGAUCAAACAGGAUUAGAUACCCUGGUAGUCCACGCCGUAAACGAUGAGUGCUAAGUGUUAGGGGGUUUCCGCCCCUUAGUGCUGCAGCUAACGCAUUAAGCACUCCGCCUGGGGAGUACGACCGCAAGGUUGAAACUCAAAGGAAUUGACGGGGGCCCGCACAAGCGGUGGAGCAUGUGGUUUAAUUCGAAGCAACGCGAAGAACCUUACCAAAUCUUGACAUCCUUUGACAACUCUAGAGAUAGAGCCUUCCCCUUCGGGGGACAAAGUGACAGGUGGUGCAUGGUUGUCGUCAGCUCGUGUCGUGAGAUGUUGGGUUAAGUCCCGCAACGAGCGCAACCCUUAAGCUUAGUUGCCAUCAUUAAGUUGGGCACUCUAAGUUGACUGCCGGUGACAAACCGGAGGAAGGUGGGGAUGACGUCAAAUCAUCAUGCCCCUUAUGAUUUGGGCUACACACGUGCUACAAUGGACAAUACAAAGGGUAGCGAAACCGCGAGGUCAAGCAAAUCCCAUAAAGUUGUUCUCAGUUCGGAUUGUAGUCUGCAACUCGACUACAUGAAGCUGGAAUCGCUAGUAAUCGUAGAUCAGCAUGCUACGGUGAAUACGUUCCCGGGUCU
rnacentral:rRNA from 1 species